GUCGGGUUGAAGAGAGGAGAGGAGGGAGGGGAGGAGGGGAGUUGGGGUAGAAGGGAGGACAGGAUGGAGGGGAGGAGGGAGCCUGCUUACAGUGCACCUGCAGGAGCCUCUACCCCAGAUCCUGCUCCUGAGGGCAGACUGCUACUGGAGUCUUCAACCCGAAGCUGAGGCACAGACAAGGGUGGCUGUUUGCUGGGGAUGUACAGGACGAAGCCAAGGGUGGAGAGGGAAGAUGAUGGCUGCAGGCUAAGGGCUGUAGACUGGUGCUGCCCCCUAUCCCCAAGAUGACUUUCUGGCCCAGAAUUCAGAAGACCCUGAAGAUUGGAACUAGAACCUGGCUUUCCAGGUCUUUCUGAAGGUCUGCUUGCCAAGGACCACUAAGCGUGAAGCAGGUAGAGUGAGACUUAGGACCCCGGGAGAAAAACCGCCCCUGGAGGGCGCGCCACGGGUGUGCGGUGUAGACGCGGGCGGGCCGGCGGCGGAGGAGGAGGUCCCGGCGCCGACCCCUGGAGCGGAGGCAGCAGCCGGGCGCAGCGAGACAAUUUCCACUCUUUCAGCUCCAGCUGGGCUGACUGCAGCUGCAGGGCAGAAAUUCUUUCCAGAGCCUGAGCAGAGCAAGAACCUCUGUGAUGUGGCUGACCUCAGACACUGGACCCAACACUUCCUCCCCAGCCUGAACAUUUGCGUCACUCCAUCUUAUGGCACCAGGCACCAUGAGGCUAUAAGGAGGACGGGGACGGGCUGUCUUUUUGUGCCAUUCCUUUUGGGGCCCAGGACCUAAGCAGGAACUUCAAAGGGACCCUGUUGGCACCAGCUCUUCUGAGAAGCACAUGGAACUACUGCCCUCCCUUUCCUAGGGGCUGGGCCCUCAGAGCUGCAGGGUGCAGGCCUACGUGAGCAUUUGGGCACCACUCCAAAGGCUUCUGUGUCAUUUCCUGGUGACCUUCAAGCAACAGAGAUUGUUAGGUGGGGCAGGAUUUUAAAGACCCAACUUCACUGGGGACCUGACGGUAGCAUCCAAGGAAAGGCGUCAGCCUUCUGCUCUAGAAUUCAUGUUCUCACGGUUUUGCCUCUAGCCUCAGAGGGAUCUGCACUCCCAGCAGAUUAAGAUCCUCGUUUCUAGGCCAACACACCCAUUUCACAGAUGAGGAAACUGAGAGUCAGAAAAGGCAUGGACAAGCCCUGCCAGUGAGCAACACUAGCUCUAGACUCUGGGUCUCUCCCAGGCAGCUUGGCUCAAACCAAGCCUCUUACAUCAGCAUUAUUUUAUUUAUUGCUUCCCCUUCCCUACUCUUCCACACCCCUCUGUAUCAACGGAACAGCUACUUGGACCCUCCUGGAGGAGGGCCCCACAGGGCAGGGUCUCAGAGUUGUUGGCAAAGACUUGGGGAGCUGGGGCUCCCUGGCAUGAAGAUGGAGGUUCUGCCCUCUCCUCCCAGGGGCCAGAAGGGGGCCCACAGUGAAGCAAAAGAAGAGAAAAGCAGCCUGCUCACUCUGCCUCUCCAGAGGGAGGUGAUGGGAAGUGGCAGCCAUGGAGGGAGCCCGCAGGGUCUGGCCCCCAGGGCCCUGGGGCACAAUUACCUCAUCAGGCAUUUCCAGCUUUUAUGAUCUGCCAACAAGGCCACAAGUGACGCAGACACCUCCCCUGGCAGCCUGUUCUCCAGGGCGAUGGGUGGUGAUCUCACCCUUGCUGGAAUGCCACUGCCAUCCGCAUGCCCCUGGCCAGGCCAGAGGCCACCAGGCCGAGGCCCAGGCACUGAGCAGGGGCCAGAGGGAGUGAAGUGGCCUAGAUGAAGAGAAGGAGUCAGCAGGUGAGCUGAGGAUGCCACCCAGGAGGCCUGAAACUGGGGCUGGGAGGCUAAGAGAGCUCGGCCCUAGGGAAACAAGAGAGGGCUUGAAGUGCAUUCAAGUCAGUGGGACAGCUACUCCCGGGCCCUCCUGCUUGGAAUCCCCAAACUGGGCAGCGUGGGGCACCUUCAACUGCUGCUCACUCUGUGCUCACCUUCCUCAGCUCAGGGAUCUCAAACAGCCAGUGUUUCCCUCCCCACACACCAGACACACACACACACACACAUGCACACACACCACACACAUGGCCUGUGCAUCUGUGUAACAAAUCACUAGUAUUGAGUUCAAAUCUUGAAUUGGACACUUGGUAAUGGAAAGACACCUUGGGCAAGUUACUUUCCCUCUGUGUGCCUCAGUUUCCUUGCAAAAUGGGAAUCACACCAAUAGUGUUUUCUUCAUAGGGCUACAGUGAGCCAGUGCGUAGUGUCUGGAAUGUGGGACGUGCUCAGAAAAGGGUAGUUAUCACUGCUGCUGAGUAACGAGAGCAGGCUAGAGGAGAAUGUUCAUAGCCCCCUACCUCUACCUUUGCCCCCAAGUCAGUAAGCGGCAACUAAAGGCAGGGAGCCAUCUCGGAAGUGCUGGAGGCCCACACUCAAGGACUCCAAGUGUGACUGAUAUUAAAGAACAGCAACGUAGAUUUUAGGGCAUCAUCUGUCUACCCCAUUGGUACUUUGAACACUUCAAGUAAUUAUUAUCUCUGUUAUAAUAAAUAAUGCAAUUGAGGUUGAGAGAGUGUAAAUGGCUAUGGCUAUUCAAAGUGACACAGCUAACCACAAAAAUCAAGGUUUACACACAGUACUUCACUGGCCAAGGCCCCCCGCCCCAGAGGUCACUGACCGCUAGUGUUCUAGUGGUUUUGUUUGUUUGUUUGUUUGUUUUUUCUUUGCUCUGUCGCCCAAGCUGGAGUGCAGUGGCACAAUCUCAGCUGUCUGCAACCUCUGCCUCCCAGGUUUAAGCGAUUCUCCUGCCUUAGCCUCCUGAGUAGCUUGGACUACAGGCGCGCAUCACCACACCUGGCUAAUUUUUGUAUUUUUAGUAGAGAUGGGGUUUCGCCAUGUUGGCCAGGGCUGGUCUCGAGCUCCUGACCUCAAGCCAUCCCACCCACCUCAGCCUCCCAAAGUGCUGGGAUUACAGGUAUGAGCCUCCAGGCCUGGCCUUUUCUAGUGUUUUGUACUCAAUUAUACAGAUUUGUAUUAAUUCAGCACAUAUGAACUGAACACUUAGUCUCUACCCAACCCUGAUCUAGAUAUUGUCUAUAUGCAAAAGAGGAAGAGAUGGUUAGGGAGACCAACUAACAGAAAACCAUUUAUAUAAAUGCAGAAAACAGAAUAUGUAACAAACCAUUUUCUCUCUGGGUAUAGGAAUUAGGAUAUAGGCUAAAUUGCUGUAAUAGGAACUCACUAUUACAAUGGCUUAAGUAAGAUUUGUUUAUUUCUCUUUCAUAAUAGUCUAGAGGUGAGUGGCCCAGACUGGCAGGGCAGCUCUGUUCCAUAAAAACAUUCAGGGAUCCAAGUUCUGUUCAUCUUUUUGCUGUCCCAUCCCCUAAGGCAGUGGUCCCCAACCUUUUGGGCACCAGGGACCGGUAUGGGGACAUAGCCCACACCAACAGCCCACACCAACAGCCUUGGCCCAUGGGCUUCCUAAACGGAGGCAGCCCCAGUUUUGUGGAAGACAAUUUUUCCAUGGACCAGAGGGUGGGGGAAUGAUGGUUUGGGGAUGAUUCAAGUGCAUUACGUUUAUUGUGCACUUUAUUUUUAUUGUCAUAUAAUAUACAAUUUACAUUAUAAUAUAUAAUGAAAAGUAUAAAAAUUAUGCAACAUACCAUUAUGUAGAAUCAGUGGCAGCCCUGAGCUUGUUUCCCUGCAACUAGACAGUCCCAUCUGGAAGUGAUGGGAGACAGUGACAGAUCAUCAGGCAUUAGAUUCUCAUAAGGAGCCACAACCUAGGUCCCUCACAUGCACAGUUCACAGUAGAACUCACGCUUCUAUGAGAAUCUAAUGCCACUGCUGAUGUGACAGGAGGCAGAGCUCAGGCGGUAAUGUGAGCGAUGGGAGUGGCUGUAAAUACAGAUGAAGCUUUGUUUGCUUGCCCACUGGUCACCUUCUGCUGUGCGCCCCAGUUCCUAAUAGGCUGCAGACCAGUACUGGUCCAUGGCCUAGGGGUUGGGGACUCCUGCCCUAAGGCAAGGGUUCUCAACCUGGAGUCCAUAGAUAGAAAUCAAGGGAUUUGUGAACUUGCAUAGAAAAAAAUUACAUCUGUACUUUCAAAAACUUCUACAUGAAAUUUAGCAUUUCCUUCAAUUAUGCAAACGGCAAUAAACCUCUGAAGUACUAGCAAGAUCAAAGACUUUGUGGCCAAUAGAAAUCAUAAAGAUUUUUCAUCUCACAUUACAAUGUUGAAGAUAUCUCAAAAUAUCACUUAAUGUUUAUUACCAUUUUAAAAUUACAGUUGUUAUCAGCCCUGCUGCUAGAUUUUAUUAUUUAAUGUCAAUAAAGAAGUACAUUUUUACUGUGUCACAAAUUUAGGUGUGCUUGUGUAUGUGCUUAUGUUACAGUUAUUUUAAUAUCUGUAUUUCAGUAUAAUUGGUUUCUUUUGUAACCUUCUGUAUUUUAUUUUAUACAUUAAAAUAAAUGCAUAUGGAGUGAUAAAGUCCAUAGGCUUCACUGUACUGCCAAGGGAGCUCAUGUCACGAAGAAAGUUAGAGACCCCUGGCUCAGGCAGUUGUCCCCACAGGCAUGGCCCAAGCUGAGUCACUGCCCAUUUGUGACCCAGCACAUGGGAGCCCAGAAAGAGGAAAAGGGAAGGACACGCUAUUUCCUCCUAAACGAGUGAUGCAAAACUUGCCCCUGUCACUCCACUCAUUUUCUGUUGGUGAGAACUUUGUCACAUGGCCACACGGAAAUAGCUGCAAGGAAAGCAGAGAAAUAAGGUGUCCCACAUGGGGCCCAUUUGCCACAACUCUGCUACAUGGAAGGGAGGAAGGGAGGAACCAAGGAAAGAAGGAGGAAUUUUGAGGUCUAAAUAAGAGUUGAGGUUUUCUUAUCUGUAAAAGCAGGAGGUGGAAAUAGAGCAGUGGUUUUUCGUAUUUUUGACCAGUUAACAUCUUGUUUCAAAGGAAGUCACAUCCUACAGAUGGAAGCAGGGCAUCUUGUUUAAGUGGUGAGAGGAGACCCAGGACUCUUCCGGCAUGGGCUCCCCUUUCCUGACCCUUUCCCCAAGGGGGCUCCCUGAAGCACCUCCUAGCAACCCUAGGCCAAGGAGAAGUUUGCCAUCUGCAUUAGUCCGUUUUCACACUGCUGAUAAAGACAUACCCGAGACUGGGUAAUUUAUAAAGGAGAAGAGGUUUAAUGGACUCACAGUUCCACAUGGCUGGGGAGGCCUCUCAAUCACAGUAGAAAUCAAAGGAGAAGCAAAGGCACAUCUUUACCUGGUGUCAGGAGCUGUGAUCACAAAAUGUCAGUCUUCUAUUGUGAGAGAUGGUUCUGCCUGGUGGCUCUUUGGUCCUCUGUUCCCUGAGCACUGUUGGGUGCCCCAGCUCCUCCCACCCUCUCUGCUUCAAUCAAGACACUUACGUUGUAGAAAGCAUAGCUGACUGCAACAGCUGCAAUUUUUAUCAUCUCCCUGCAAGCCAAAUAUUAAAGUAUUUUAGUGGAACUUUGAAGUUCAGCGGGGUGGUACCUUCAUUGAUUGCCUGUCUUAUAUUUGAAUGCCAGUCAGUUUCUUGCGACAUGACUCUUUCAUUGUAACGUAAAAAACAAAAGCAAAAAACAAACUGCCUCACUAAUACAUUUGAGUUUUAAAACCCACUGUGGGUAAGAGGUUGAUGAAAAGGGAGCUUGCAAAUGCUGCUGAUGGGAGUGUGAACAGCGAUGGCCUUUCUGGAAGGCAACUUGACACUAUGAAUCAAAAGUUUAAAAACAUGCACACUUGUGCUUGAGUCAGUGUUUCCUAUUAGACAACUGAAUUCCAAGAAAUAAUCAUAUUUAGAUAUGAGGCCAUAUUUAGAUAUGAGGCUGUUCAGCAGAGCAUGUUUGUAAUUAAAAAAUGUGGGACACAAACAAAUUUCCAAGAAGAGGAGAUUCAAUAAAUAAGUGGUGAUACAUCUACAUAAGGGAAUACUCUUCACUUAUUAGAAAUUGUGCUAUAGAACAUUUAAUUACAUGAGAAGGUGUUCAUGAUUCUCUAUUACAUGCAAGAAUCGGGUUUCAAAACAGUAUAUGUAAGACAACUCCAUAAAACCUGUGUGAAUAGUUACGUGUGUGUGUGUAUACAUGUUAAACAAAAUAGAAUAGAAACCCACAUAUUAAUAGUGUUUAUUUCUGCACAGUGGAACAAUAUAUGAUGUUUAUUUUCUUUUUUUGUACCUCU
rnacentral:lncRNA from 1 species